CUUUUGGAGUUCAGUUCUGGCCCCAUUUGGGGUCCAGCCCUGUUUGGGGUCCAGCCCUGGCCCCUUUUGGGGUCCAGCCCCGUUUGGGGUUCAGGGGUCCAGCCCCGUUUGGGGUUCAGGGGUCCAGCCCCAUUUGAGUCCAGCCCCGUUUGGGGUCCAGCCCCGUUUGGGGUUCAGGGGUCCAGCUCCAUUUGGGUCCAGUCCCUUUUGGGGUCCAGCCCCGUUUGGGGUUCAGGGGUCCAGCCCCAUUUGAGUCCAGCCCCAUUUGGGGUCCAGUCCCAUUUGGGGUCCAGUCCCUUUUGGGGUCCAGCCCCGUUUGGGGUUCAGGGGUCCAGCCCCAUUUGAGUCCAGCCCCAUUUGGGGUCCAGCCCCAUUUGGGGUUCAGCCCCGGCCCCAUUUGGGGUUCAGCCCCAGCCCCAUUUGGGGUUCAGUUCUGGCCCCAUUUGGGGUUUUAGGGGUGCAGCCCCAGCCCCAUUUGGGGUCCGGCCCCAGCCCCAUUUGGGAUUCAGGGCUCCAGCCCUAUUUGGGGCCCAGCCCCAUUUGGGGUCCAGGGGCCCAGUCCCAUUUGGGGUCCAGCCCCGGCCCCAUUUGGGGUCCAGCCCCAUUUGGGGUUCAGGGGCCCAGUCCCAUUUGGGGUCCGGCCCCAUUUGGGGCCCAGCCCCAUUUGGGGUUUAGGGGCCCAGUCCCAUUUGGGGUUCAGCCCCAUUUGGGGUUUAGGGGCCCAGUCCCAUUUGGGGUCCAGUCCCAUUUGGGGUCCAGUCCCAUUUGGGGUUUAGGGGCCCAGUCCCAUUUGGGG
rnacentral:lncRNA from 1 species